CCCGGCGCUCGGGGCAGGGCGUGAGGGAGUCUGCUCUUCUGAAAGGCAGUGGCGGUGCCGUGUGGGCUGAGGGGUUGUGCGGCGCCCAGGGUAUUGGAGCUACGAAGCUCGUCAAGGGUCUGGAGAAUCUCACUUGUGAGAAAAGAGGGAGAUGGGCCUGAUCGGGAAGAAGUGACUGAGAUGGGAUCUCAUCAAUGUCUAUCACUAUCUAAAGGGAGUUGUCAGAGGGUGGAUCAGGCUCUGCUCGGUAGUGCCUCCCAGUAGGCAAAGGGCAGAAACUGAUGCCCAGGAGCUUCCACCUGAACAUGAGGAAGAAUUCCUGUCCUGUGCAGUGGCCGGGCACUGAAACAGGUUUCCCAGAGAGGAUGUGGAGUCUCCCUCACCGGAGAUACUCCGGAACUGUCUGGGCAAAAUCCUGUGCUUCACCACUGUGGUGCCUUCCGACCUGACGGGUUCUGUGACUGUGUCCCUCCACUGUUUGGGGGACACGGUUCUCCACAGCCACACUGUGAGGGCAGAGAGCUGGGUGCCAGGCUGGGUGCAGUGGGAGAGGGGGCACAGCGACACCUUUGGCUGCCUCAGAGAACCCUGAGGUAAAACCUGCUUUAAUCAUGCCCAGGAAAGUUGUGGCUGCCCCAUCCCUGGAACUGUUCAAGGCUAGGUUGGAUGGGGCUCUGAGCAACCUGGUCUAGUUGAAGAUGUCUCUGCCUGUUGCAGGGGGUUGAGGCUGGGUGAUUCUUAAGACUUCCUUCCAACCCAAAUCUUUCUUUGAUUUUGUCAGGCAUAAAUUCUGUUGGAUCUGGUGUCUGAGGGGCUUGUCCCUCUGCUAAAAUAAAAAUGGUGAAGGUAAUGGGAAAUAGUGAAGGUAAAAGAGAAAAUGACUUUCACAACUGCCUAAGUCUUCUUCCUCAGUGGGGAAAAGGUUUACAUGCCUUGUUAAUCUGUGCCACCCAUAUACUUAAGAACUCAAAAACAAAUAUUGCUUAUUUGUACUCUUAUUUAUUACUAAUAUAUUGUCAGAGUCACAGGUAUUUAUCAGGUGAUUGUGUCCUCUCCCUUCUUCAUUGUGCAAGGCCAUGGCAGCCAGCAAAUUAACAGUUUGACUUAUAUUAUGCUGUAAAAAUUUCAAGCUGCUCUCAGAAAUCAUUCUUUUUCACCCAUGCUGUGGUGGCUGAAAUACUCCUAAUGCAAGAAGUACCUCAAAGUGUGGAAGAUGGAAACAUUUCAGAAAGGUGUGGCCCUACCCAAAUAAAUGGCGUAACAGAACAGGGAAGGGGGAGCUGUACAAUGUGGGUCAGUGAGGGUCAACAAGGUAAGACUAUUCCCAGUCUGUAAUUUUAUUUUUUUUUUCAAGUAGUCUCCAAAGCUACAGGAGUAGUGUCCAGGAGAAAAGCAAAUUAUUAAGACUCCAGUUAUACAACAAUUAUGUAGUUUUUUGUUAUGUUAAAGUCGGUGCCUGAUCUGAGAUGUUUGGUCAUUCUACAGCCAAGAGAGAGAAGGGGACUUUCUACCAGCUUAAGAGGCUGGACAAUCACAUUGUGAUAAAACCGAACUAGUGGUUGUAGCGGUGAAGCCGGACUAGAGUCCUGUGUGUCUCUCUUGACUGGGGGCCCAGUUUAGAGCCUGCUGAUGUUAGGCUAAAUGAAUCCCAUCUUUCUCUUUUAUUCUUGACUCUGGCAACAACUUGGUACAGGAUCAUAUGCCUGCCCUGUGUAACAACUCUUACACAACAGCAGAGGAGAGGAAAGCUCCUUAUUUCAUCAAGGAGCAAAGUGGGAGUGGUGUCUCUUGCAUAUAGCAUGGACACCCCAGCUAAGGAGAGCAUCUCUGUUCUGUGAACAUUAAUUCAAGAAUAUACUUAAAGGCAAGCAGGUACUUUACAGAUUUUCAGUGUGGGAACAUCAAUACACAGAGGGAGAGUGCUUUGAGAUUCACCAAGAUAGAAUGUUAAAUAAUUUCAAUAUAUUAUUUUUACAAUGUAUUAUAUGCUAAUUCAACCUGCCUGAGCUAAAGUUCUCCUUACUAAGUAGGACGUCAUUCUGAGGAAGAUUCUACAGCUCCAGGGCUUUAUCAGCUCCACAGUGUUAUUUUCUUUAUUUCUUGAUUUACUCUCAUCACCUUGUAAUAUCAGGUGUAGUCUCACAUUAAAAAUGUGCCCUGUCAACGUUCUUCUACCCCAGGUGAGUCCAAAAGAGUUUUUUGUUCUUUUGAUUAUCAUUUGCAUGUUUUUUCCCCUCUUUCCUCAUUCUUCAGCAUUACUGAUUACUAAUAUUGGCACCAAGUUUAUUCUAGGAGACCAACUGUGUGUUGACACAUUCUGUCCUGAAGGUGGGGAAAUUUAUGGAGCACAGUUCCAAGUACACAGCCCAUUACUGUGUAUUAUAGAGAACUUCCCUCCUCUGCUGAGUGAAAACUUGUUAUACCAGUUUAAAAAUAUGUCAGGUAUGCAUCUCCUUCCUCCAGCAUUAAUCAUUAAUUAACAUGUGAUACUGACAUUUCUGGUUGCUACUUAAUGUAGCAAAACUGUAUUUUAUGUGCGUUUCUAAUUUCUUCUAUCAUCCUCCAGUAUCAGUGGAGGGUGACACAUCCAGCUGCCAGUGUCAGUACACUGGUAAUGCUGCCCAAAACAGAGCCACGAGAACAAGCCCAUGUUUAUAAAACUCCUCUUGCCAAUCUGACUCCUUUGCCUAGUGUUACAGGCCAAAAUUCACGUUUCUUCUCACAGAAUGUGCUUAUUGUAUUUGCUACUUCAAAUAGCUGAGUAGACACACUGAAUUAAGCAACUGUGAUCAAAGAGGAUCUUAUUCACCUGUUUUGGACUUUCUUCAAAAACAGUUUUCAUUUUGGCUUUUUUCUCUGUAUGUGUCCUGGAUUUGAUAAGAAUUGGUAGAACUCAGCAGUCAGAAAGAAAGCAUAGACUGAUGAGAAGCUAUCUGUUAUUUACUUGAAUUUCAGUAGGCUUAGAAAGCUCCAUGGUUAAAGUUCAGAGCCCCUUGUGUGAGGCAAGUGUAUGUAACAGGCAACAGAUAGAAAAAAUAGGGAAAUAUAUAUGUACUGAGAUAGGAGAUAACCAUGAAACAGAGUUUAGCCAAAGUGAAGGUCAGGUUACAUUUACAGUCAUUAUAGUUGACUUAGUGUUGUGAUAAACAUGGUAUUAUCAUGACUUGUUAUUUGCAUAAGAGUGGCCAUAGGAAACCUCCAGACAAGAGCAUGGCUUGUUGUACAAAGUACUGUGCCAACAGUAGGUCACUAUUAUUGUUUACACUCAGUAAUCCCACACAAAAUGUGUUCCAGAACUGAUUCAUACAACUUUUCCCCUUGAUUGACCACUUCCUUUUUUUGGCAGGGCACUUACAGCCAGAGCCAAAGAAAGGCUUCACAGCACUCCUUGCUUUUCAGUGCCCAGCUGGCAGAAUGCAUUUCCAAGCAAUGAAAUAAACUUACAGUAACCAAAACUUGGGGCUUUGCCUAUGACUCAAUAGCAGUCACAUAUCCCAGCCUAGAUGACACUGCUGCCUCCCUCCUGCCAACUCUGUGGCUUUUGUUUUGUGGUCAGGCAGGUUUGUGUAGUGAAACAGCUUAAAACAAACAAGACAAGAUUGAAAGCUCCUUCCCCAAGUUUGCUGAUGACACUAAACUGGGUGGUAAGGUGGACAUGUGAGAAGAGACAGCAGUCUUGCAGAGACACCUGGAAGGGCUGGAAGAGUGGACUAGCAAGAACUGUAUGAGGUUUAUUUAACAAGACAAGAGGCAAGGUCCUACACCUGGCACAACAUAAUCCAAGAACUCAUUAGAGGCCAGGCCAUACCUGGAGCACUGUGUUUGGUCCUGGUCUAUGCAAUUCAAGACAGUCAGAUUGGAGAGGGUCCAAAGAAGGGCUACCAAGAUGAUCAAAAGGCUGGAGAGCCCUAUGAAGAAAGACAGAACCAGUUAGGUCUUUCCUGCCUGGAGAAGACUUUGGGGAGACCUUAUCAGAAUAUUCCAGCAUUUAAAGGGUUGCUACAAAGAGAGUGGGGGCUGUCUCUUCUCAAGGAGCCACAUGGAGAAGACAAGUGGCAAUGAGUACAAAUUGCUCAAGGAGAGGUUUUAUCUGUAUAUAGUCACUCACAGGAACAAAAUCCCCAAGGAACCAGGUAGAGCUGGAGAUUUUCAAUAUGUGACUGAACAGGGUGCUACAUAAUCUUGUCAAGGCUCCCUUCUCCAUGAAAGACUGGACUUGAUGAUAUUUUGAGGUCACUUCCAGCUUGGGAUGUUCUAUGAUUCAGUGAUUAUUUCUGGGAGGUGCUCAUAUUUUUUUAAUGUCUUUUAUUUUGCCCAGGUGUUUUUGCAUUUGGUUUGGACUGAGUGCUGUGGGACAAAAACUUAAGUUGAGGGAGACAGAUCUGAAACCAGAUCCACUGCUGUAGGGACAGGAAUGUCUUUGAGCUGUAGAGAGCAACUUCCAUCCCUCUCCUGGGUGAUCAGGGUCCAUGUGUGGAGAGUGAGACAAGAGUUCGAACAGUCUGGUUGUUCAGAGACAACAGAGUCUUCUAGAUGGGCACUUUCUAACACAAGAUUGAGAUACCAUCACUUACUGUGAGAAACAGUCAAGAUAGAAUCUGUGGAGAGCAGAGGCAGUCAGUAUUUAUUUGGUACUCUUUAGGAACACUUUUAGCAUUUAGCCCUGUUUAUGACUAAGCCAGAAGAAUAUCUAAUUUCCAGGCAAUGUUAUAAAUUGUUAUAAAUUAAUUGAGAAAUGGCCCUGUGGCUGCUGUGGUUCUUUGCCUGUACAGAAGCAGAGCUGGAGGCAUUGUGAGCUGUAUUUAUUAACAUCUCUUCAGCCUUCCUUCUGCCCUCUGGAUAUGCAGAUUCCCUGCUGCCCCUUCCCUCUUCAGUACUUUAUCUCCUCCCCGCACUGCAGUGCUCACUAUCCCCAUUCCCUUCUGCUCCUCCACUAGCAUCCCCACCCCACCCCUGCUUCAGGACCUACCCUUGCUCCCCUGAACUCUCACUAAUGCCUCUGUGGUUUCUUACUGCUUCUCUCUCCAUGAAGCCAUGCCCCUUUUCCUUGUCUGAUUUCACAGGCAUACUAGUGAGUUGUCUAGGAAGUCAGACCUCAUUUCUCUCCUCUCCUUACUUCUGGUGUUAGUGCACCUCACCGGUGAGGCAAGAUUUGCAGGUAUGAGGAGAAGGCUGCAGAGGAAGAGGAAGUUCCCUAAUGAGUUGUGCUGCUUUCAGGCUUUGUCUGCAGUUCACCUGGGGGGAGAGAAAGGGGAGCUGGGGUGUAUUUUUGGCACUUUGUAUCUCACGUUCAUUUAAAUUCUAGUUUUGGCUCCUAAAUACUCUAUUAGAUCUAAUCAUUCAUCUUUUCCUUCAGUGCAAAUACUUCCCUUAUCCUGUGUUUUGUUUAGAGGGGGGUGGGACAGCUUUCUACUGGUGUUGCAGUAUCUGGUUAAAAGUGGCCUGAUUUUAAUAGCUGUUCCUUGGCUUCUGCUAUUUAAAACAUAUGUUUUCUGACAUUUAAUGAUAACUUUGUUCUCCCAUACGUCUCAAUGAGUAGAAACAACUGGUGAUUUUCCAGUGUGAAUGUUUUUGAAAUUAAUGCAACUUAUUUUCCUGUGGGGAAUGGAGACAUAUGUCAUUGAAUUGAAUUAAAUAUUAAUCGUAUUAUUUCCAAAGAAGAGAAGUGCAACUAGAAUCAAAGAAAUAUAGAAAAUUAUUUAUUCCAAGAGAAAAUAAAAUAUAUAUCCUUGGAAAUAAAUCUAUAUCUUUAAAUUGCUGUAGGGUUUUGUGGUUUGUGCUUUUUUUUCUCUUUCUUUUAUUUACCCUUUGUUUUUCUUUUUUCUUUAUUAUUUUUUUUUUUUAGUUUCUGGUUUGAUUUCUCUUAGAACUGAAAGUUAAUUCUUCUAAUGGUAUUCCAUUGGCCUGUGAUAUGUGCCUGGAUGAUCUUAAUUACAGUUCCCAAGGACAGGGUGUCCUGUGAUACAGCAAGCUGUAUUUUGCAUUUGAGAUGUAUUUUCUGUUUCAGUAGGACUGAAUGGUUUAUGGAGGAUGAGAGCAGGAUGGAGGGGUUCCCUGUAGAUCAUGUUUGAAGGAGGGACUUGCCAUUGUCAUUCAGGAUAUUCUGGAAAGGAAUUCUGGUGGGGCUGUGGACUCUGCCCAGGGUCAACUUCAAGUCAGUGGAACAAAUCCCAGUAAUUUGAUUAGGAGCUGAAUCAGGCAUUUACUAGAUCAGGAAAGGGGUUUAGACCUCUGUAGCAGAAUGUAGAUGGACUUUAGACAUUUAAAUUUCAUCUGAAAUCCAAACAGUCUCUGCUUAUCAGCCAUUGAAACCUGCUUCUGCCUUAUCACUUCAGGAGCCCCUCAGUUUUCCAUGGAAGUCCAGUGGCUGCAUGUGCUGUAUGAGGUGAACAGAAAACUUCAGCACAAACUUUACCUUGCCCAACAAAGUGGCUCACACAUUUUCCAUCCUCAGUGUCCCUCAAGCUCAGAGUGUCCACAGUGUGUUUGGGGACACUCAGGGAUAUUUACUUGUGAACCUGGGCUCUGUGAUUGUACCUCCAUAAAAACUGAAUUGAGGGAUACCAUUCAUGGUCCAGAAAGUGAAAGCAGAGAUAAAAGCUUCUACUAAGGUGCUACAACAAGAAGAUGAAAGGAGGAAAGAGGGAUGGAAAUCCCCACCUCCAGAUAUUCAAGGACAAAUCAUAUAUUUUACAUUGCCAUUGAUGGAUAAAAUAAUUCCCCAUCGUGGCAAGCCCCUAAUCCCACAGGACAAGGCUAUUAGAGGAUAAUCCUAACCUAAAUUACAACCCUGUGUUUGAGCACUGGUUCUCCUAAUGCUCCAGGAUACAAUUACAGAACAAGGCCUGGAAACCACAGCCUCUGUUCUGCCUUAUUGCUUAAUUGUUUAAUGAAGUAUUCACUUCAUCUAAGUGAGUGCUUUGUAAUUUUGUACUUGCAUGCAGCUGGCAGAGGCAAAGAACUGGCUUUUUUACAGAAUAACUUGUUCUUUUGGUGGAAGAAGGUACCAUUAAAAAUAUCAGGCUUCAAUAGUAAAUAAUUUGAGAGAUCUCUCCAUAAAAAAGAAAUCUCAUCCUUGAAAGUGAGGAAUGAAAGCACAUUUUUUACUACUGGGUUUUUGUCCCCUUUCCUCCUUGAUGCUGUGCAAAGACAGAUGGAAGAGGCAGUGGGACAACCAGUACCAGAUCUUGCACUAACAGGUCUGUUCUGAGGUCAGGACACUGCUACCAUGUGCAUCUUUCAAACUAGUGUGGGAGAGGCCUUCCUAAAUUAAGAAGAAGUAAUGAAAUAAGCCUUAUAUCAAGAUUAAAGUAAUACUCAGGCCCUUAAAUAAGCGCAAAGUCACUAUAUAUAAGAGCAAAUAACAUGAAAAAAAAUAAUCUAAAAAGUUCUAUGGAUUUCAAGUCUCCCUGUUCUACCCUUGAAAAUAUUCCUGUGCUCAGAACAAUAUGUCAGGCUCCAGCUCCUGAGUAGUUCCCUAAUGAAGGCCAAGUGCCCUUGAACAUCCGUUCUCUACCUGAGCUGAGGGUAGGCAGCUCUGUGCCUCCCAUCAUUUUGGGUGUUUUGAUCUUUUGAAGCUUUUCUUCCUCUUUAAAACUAUAGAAGGAGCUUAGACAAUUAGCUCUGGGCUUGGAUAUCAUUUUUGGCUGGAGACCUGACCUGCAGACACAGGAUAUCAAGAGAUUUGUAACAGGGAAGUGAGAGAGAAUGACCCUGGGAACAAGAGAAAAUAAUUUGAACGUUGAAGGCUUUUUUGAGUUCCAGCCAUGCAGGGUCCCUUGAAAAUGCUAAAUACCAAAGAAGCAUUGGAGUCUGAAAUACCAAGUUUUUCUUCAAUAGCUAUGAAAGUAUUUUAUGAAUAACAUCGGCACAGUCAGAAGAGGUGAGGUCACCUGUGCAUUAAUCCCUUACUCUCUUGCCAGCCCGACCUAUUGUGAGGUACUGCCUAUGGAUUCUUUCCUAGUUCUCGCAGGGAAGGGUGCUGCUUCACUGGGAGCACAUUGCUAGAGGGGCACAGUAAUCAGAGGGGUGGUUCACAGUGGGUUCACUUGGUGUUUUCCAUGCAGACUCUGCUGUAGGUGCUGUUCUUGUCGAGUCCAUGGAAUGCAGAUGAUGAGAAGGAAACCAUCACACAGUUGCAUUUGAGAACCACCACUUUAACUUUGUUGAAGAAAAGAUUCAAAACAGGCUGCAAAAGUAUUUACUUAGCACAUUUUUGGCUUAAAAUACUGGUCUUGCCAGGUCUGUUGUUACUGCUACUUAUCACUCUGAGGUAACAUUUGCUUUUUGUUCCAAAAUUUCAGUUGUUUGCUUUUAGGGAUGUUACUGGUGGCUCAAUAUCUAUGGCUACAGAUGGCCAUAGUGUGAAACGGCUCCUGCCUGAACCAGCUUCUCCCAGUCAGGGAAAGCUCAAGGAGGAAAACAAAGCCAAGAGCCCAAGUCACCCCUGUCCUGGCUCUGUGGGAGCACACCUGCACAGCAGGGCUGAGGCUGUCUGGUGGAAAAGGUGUUGAAUCACGUCUGACUGGUCUGAGUGGAGCCUUUGUAGUGAAAACUGGCAAAGCAGUUAAAUUACAUCUUCCACUCAGUCCACUGGUGAGAGUUGUCCAGAAGCUGCUGGGCACAAAGCUGGCAUAACCUGUACCCCAUUGCCAUGGGCUCCUGCAGGUUUGGCCUGGGCUGGACCCCACUUGCCACCUUAUCGGUGUUCUUGUUGACAUGGCUGGGUUCACUGCAUUCCAGAGCUGGUCGUUUAAUGUUGUUUGUUUGAAUUCCUCUGCUGCUCUGGCACAGCCCAUGGUUCUUUUGGUGUUUGAAGUUGUAGAUUUCCCUAACUUUGGUGGCUUUGAACAGUGAAUGUGCUCCCCAUCCUACUUCUACCGUAUGGGAAUCUGUGGAGAAUUGGCUGAUAAUCAGAGUUCCCUGAAAUUCCAGUUAUUAAAAGUAUCAUGAUAGGUGGUCAUGUUCUCUUUUCAUGAAGCCAGGAGUAAAACUGAGGCCCAGACAGACACCUGGCAUUUGUAUAUGUUCAUAUUUACAACAGUGUAAUGAUUACCUUCACACUUGCAGAGUGCUCACCUAGCCUGAGGGAUGGAAGGACUCAGUAGGAUAUCUGCAUUACAAUUGGAAUAUUGUUCCUGCUGGGAGAGGACAUGAGAGAAUAUUUUUAUUUUUCAACAGCUCCUGCUGUGCCUUGGCAUUUACAGUCCAUCUGGACUAACACCUUCAGCAGUUUUUUCUCUGCCCAGCAGACUCUGGGCCAGCAGUGACAAGAACAUUAAUUCAUCACCAAGCUGUGAGUAGCACAGUUGAUUAAUUCUUAUCAUUCAUUGCUUUUAGUGUGUCACACAGAACUUUAAGACUUCCUUUACAGCUGGGGAAACUGAGUCACAGAGAGAAGAGAUGGUGCCACUUAGUUCACCUGUUAAGGUGGAAGAAGAAGCACUGAGAUUCUGGCUGGCUGAGCUUGGGCUGGGAGGUUCAUCCUCUGGAUCCUAUUCCUGAAAGCUUGAGGCACGGAGAAGCAUCACUCACUGUCUGCACUGAGAAUGAUUUUGGGCCAGGAAGUGAAGAAGACCAAAGCAGGAGGACAGGUCUGGAAUAAAACCUGAGUGCCACUUUGGAAGACCUCACACCUUCUUUGUCAUCAGCAGCUGAGGCAGCCUGAAUGUCAAC